UACGUAGGGUCCGAGCGUUGUCCGGAAUUAUUGGGCGUAAAGGGCUCGUAGGCGGUUUGUCACGUCGGGAGUGAAAACUCAAGGCUCAACCCUGAGCGUGCUUCCGAUACGGGCAGACUAGAGGUAUGCAGGGGAGAACGGAAUUCCUGGUGUAGCGGUGGAAUGCGCAGAUAUCAGGAGGAACACCGGUGGCGAAGGCGGUUCUCUGGGCAUUACCUGACGCUGAGGAGCGAAAGCAUGGGGAGCGAACAGG
rnacentral:rRNA from 1 species